GACGAACGCUGGNGGCGUGCCUAAUACAUGCAAGUCGAGCGAAGUUUUUCUGGUGCUUGCACUAGAAAAACUUAGCGGCGAACGGGUGAGUAACACGUAAAGAACCUGCCUCAUAGACUGGGACAACUAUUGGAAACGAUAGCUAAUACCGGAUAACAGCAUUAACUGCAUGGUUGAUGUUUAAAAGUUGGUUUUGCUAACACUAUGAGAUGGCUUUGCGGUGCAUUAGCUAGUUGGUGGGGUAAAGGCCUACUAAGGCGACGAUGCAUAGCCGACCUGAGAGGGUGAUCGGCCACACUGGGACUGAGACACGGCCCAGACUCCUACGGGAGGCAGCAGUAGGGAAUCUUCCGCAAUGGGCGAAAGCCUGACGGAGCAACGCCGCGUGAGUGAAGAAGGAUUUCGGUUCGUAAAGCUCUGUUGUUAGGGAAGAAUGAUUGUGUAGUAACUAUACACAGUAGAGACGGUACCUAACCAGAAAGCCACGGCUAACUACGUGCCAGCAGCCGCGGUAAUACGUAGGUGGCAAGCGUUGUCCGGAAUUAUUGGGCGUAAAGCGCGCGCAGGUGGUUUAAUAAGUCUGAUGUGAAAGCCCACGGCUCAACCGUGGAGGGUCAUUGGAAACUGUUAAACUUGAGUGCAGGAGAGAAAAGUGGAAUUCCUAGUGUAGCGGUGAAAUGCGUAGAGAUUAGGAGGAACACCAGUGGCGAAGGCGGCUUUUUGGCCUGUAACUGACACUGAGGCGCGAAAGCGUGGGGAGCAAACAGG
rnacentral:rRNA from 1 species